rnacentral:lncRNA from 1 species
AUAGUUGAUCAAUGAUUAAGAAUCAUUCUAGGGUUAAAUGAUUAAUACGAUUGAUAUUUAACCUAGUACAAGUGUUGCAGGAGGAUCGAUUAGCAAUUUGAUUGCUAAUUGACUUAAUUUGAUUAAGUCAAUGGGCUGAGAUUAAGUUUAAUUAAAUAUAAUUUAAUUAAAUUUAGUUUAGACUUGAUUGGAUCAAGUUCAAUUG